rnacentral:rRNA from 1 species
UACGGGGGGGGCAAGCGUUGUUCGGAAUUACUGGGCGUAAAGGGCGCGUAGGCGGUUUGCUAAGUCGGAUGUGAAAACUCUGGGCUCAACCCAGAGCCUGCAUCCGAAACUGGCAGGCUAGAGUUCUGGAGGGGGUAGCGGAAUUCCUGGUGUAGCGGUGAAAUUCGUAGAUAUCAGGAGGAACACCGGUGGCGAAGGCGGCUUUCUGGACGACAACUGACGCUGAGACGCGAAAGCGUGGGGAGCAAACAGG